UUAGCUUUUUGUCUGUUGAGACACUAAUGAUACUUACCAUGAAGCUUUUCUUUGUUCUGGGUUGAACAAACUAAAGCCUUGUAGUUGUUGGGAUAAAUAAGCCAAGCGUUUGAGUGAUUGUUGGGAGGGAAAUGUUGAGUAGAUUCUAAAUAUACCAAAUUCCUUUUAGAGACAGAUUAGGCCUUUGUGUUUUGACAUUUUUGCUCCAGUGCUGGCCAUUAACAGUGUUUUGGUAAGGGACAGGUGGAGAGGUUAGAGGAGAGACAACACAGGGGUGAAAUCCCUCCAGGGUGUGGAUGGAAAUGAGUGGAUCUUUCCUACAUGAGGUCAGAGCGACAGCUACUGCGGAAACGUAUGGUGGACAGCACGUUCACUGUUCCAGACCCCCGGCUGCCCUUUUCAUCACGAGCAGAGAGCCGUCCUCCCACCUGAUCCACAGCUUUUGUCUAUAUUUCCUUUGAUUGAAAGAGUUUGACAAAGACAUCAAUGGGACAGACACCAAGUGAAAGCAUAAGGGCACACUCAUCCACCUCCACUCCUGCAGUAUGCCAGCGACAUGGCCUUCACCACACACAUCUAAGCCUUUCGCUUUGUCACUAACAUUUUGUUUUUCCCACCCUCAUGUUUGGAGGAGGAGGGAGAGACAUCAUCUGUGAUCAUAUCUGCUUGUUAGAGUCAGACUGAUUUUCUUGGGAGCGCUUUUGGACAAUUACUGGAUGGACAUAAAAGGAUCUGAAUGCUGACUAACCUAAGAAUGACCCAUUUUAGGGUAAUUUGCUUCUGGUGGUCAGAGGAUCAAAGAGAAGGGCCAUUGAGUUGUUUUAACGAGCCCCCACCCCAUCAACAUUUCCACAUAAACUCUGUUUAUUUGAAUUUACUGUCAAUCCCUGAUUACACUCUUGGAUGUCCUUUUUUUGUGUGUGUUGACUUAACUUACUCUGUUUGGCAGAAACUUACCGGAACUGGGUCAAAGAGGGGGGGUUUGGGGGAGAGGGAGGGUUGGUUUUAUUCCAGAUCACGUUCUCUUGAGUAGGGGGAUGACCUCAGUAAUCUGAUUAUUGUCUCUGUUAUCAUAAGGCAUUCCGACUACUUUUAAUAAAUCUGACUGCGUGCCUGCAAUGGCUUUGCAGCUAAACAAACGUAUUAGGUGUGCAUGAACUCUACUAGAGGCUAAAAGCACUGGGGGGCAUUGUUGGACAGUGACGCACCUUUAACCUGAAGCAAUAGGAUAGGGGCGUAUUAUUGUAAAUGUCAGUCUAAUAUGUGACAAUUCAUUGUGAGGGUAAUGGUAUUGGCAAAUCAUCGCUAAAGAGGUAUGACUCAUAUGUCAAUCAAGGCAACAACCUUAAUCAGAUAAUAUACUGUGUGUUUGAUUCAUGAUUUUAUUUGAACAAAAUAAGAAAUGGUCAAAAUAGCGCCCACAUAUUCUUUAGUAGAAAUUAAAUAGGUCUAUCUUUUUGACAGCACACUUGGAAUUGGACACAGUUUUGUAUUUAAUACCCGCUGAUAAAAGUGUGUGUUGAUUUGGAGUUAUAGCCGCCUCUGCCCAAAUACCAGUUCAAGUUCUGAUCCAGCCCUGUUUUGUCUUGAACUUUACAUGGCAUUUUGAACUGCAUGUGGCCUUUAUGAGAUUAGGUUAUGCAUACAUGAUAAAGAUUACAAAUGUCAACAAAAAAAUGGUUGUACUUGUUAAGGCGUGUGUGACUUGUGCUGUGUCUUUCAAAGUACUUAUAGUGCAGUGUUUUCCACAUGCAGUAUGUGGACAGUUGUAAUUCAUCAUUGUCACUGCCAUUAUCAUUAUCACUGGGAAAUAAUUGGUGGUCUGACACUCAAAAAAACGAAAGGCCUCAGCUUUAUCAAUGAAUGAUAGGGCAACAUUUUGAUCUCUGGCCGUCUGUGACCAAGAGAUCGUGGUCUUAGUUCAAUUCUAUGAAAUGAUUUAGUAUUUUGUCAUGUUGAGAGCUCUAGAAUAUCACAGCGAGAUGAAACUAGUAUUGCUGCAUCCGUUAGAUUCUGCCAUUUCAUGAGUUUCACAGACACAGGAAAUUGUUUCUUUGUCUAGAUAAGCCAGAAAAUGUGACAGUGUCAUUCCCUAUGCAAAUGUGGGGUCUGAAACCUGACACUUCAAGUCAGCCCAGCUGGGAGAGUGGGAGCGGAGAGCAGCGAGAUGGGGCUUUCUUGUACUAUAAGACACGGGACCCUACGCUGUUCACAGAGCGCUUUGUACCAAAAUGUCAGUCGGCACCGGACCAGAACCACUCAAUGUCUCCCAAACAGGGACCAUAACAUCAUAACGUCUUUAUAAGCAUAAUUCAUUUGACCUAGCUAAACAUUUUAAUGCUUUAACAGCUAGCACUCUCUUUGAUACAUUUAUUGUUGUAUUCAGAUUUUGUGAGACAUUAACGAUAUGACCUGAGAAAUCCUUCAACAUGACAUAUUUCAGGAGAUAUCCCAUCAGAGAAACAAACAGUGACUGAGGAAGCAAUUGUAAUAAUUUGCCAGUGUACACCAAGGUCAACCCCCAUGAUUCACAGUGAGACACUGGCAAGGAGUCCUAUGUAAUACUGUCAUGUAUAGAUUACAGUGUAUGUACUCCUCACACAUUGAAUACCACAUCGCCACAUGAACACUCUCCCCUGUAAUUUGAGCCUGCUCGACUCUCAGACAGUGUGUAAGUCUAUACUUACUGUGGUUGACUCGGUGGAGGAGGCUUGCUUCUUAGCCUCUAGAUUUAUGAUGAGGAGGGAUGGCCUUGAUGUGUCCACAACAAAGACCCAGACAAGUCGUUUCUUGCAUGUUGCUCUCUUGGUUGAGUGUACAGCGAGAAAAACAAUGUCAAAAUGAAUGCACAAUGAGCCUUUGAUGAAAGUCAUUGCAACAUGGCGGGUUGUAGGAAACUUGGUGUUAACGACAUUUGGUUAUAUUUUUAACAGUAAAGCGGAGAAACAGUUGCUCUAUAAAGUCUCAAAGGGUAUAGGAACAUGUACAGGCCUUUUCUUUAUAAAGCACAAAACUUCCCACACUAAGGAUCAAAAAGAAAACAUAGUUGAGGAGCCUUUUGCUAAACUAACAGAUGGGGAGAUGAAAUGGAGGAAAUGGGUUAAUGGGUAGUUUCCAUAUGUUUACAGCUAGCAGAGUCUCAUUGAUAACCUCACAGAUAACCCAGGCAUAUUUGUGUGGGCCUGAAGCCUACACGUGCUGACCCAAGGUCUGCUCUUUAGCGUGGAGAUUGUAGGUCUAAAGCUGCCAAGUCAUCCUGGGGUUAUAGUAUUGUUUCACAGUUGACUUCUUAUCCUUAUCCCACACUGGCAUGACUCACCCCGUGAUAUGAAUAUAGGCCAGGGUGUGAUGUGGGGUAUUGUGUAUUUUCUGAUAUCUUACCAAAGGUCUAUUUGUGGUUGAAUGGGAUGCCCAUUGUGUCGAUAGACCACAAACUACAGUUAAUAAUGCAGAGCCUGUUUAACAUUACUAAAUAUACCCUUCCUUAUGCACUUUU